AAAGAUUCGAACCUGCAGCAGGUUCGAGUUGAGCGCAGCGAAACAACGGAGCCGCUCGCGGCGACGGCCCGUAGGGCGAGCGAAGCGAGUCAUCUUGCACGACCCACCA
rnacentral:sRNA from 1 species